CGGACACUGAGUUUUCACCUGGGUGAAGAAACACACAUGGGAGAGGCAAGGAAGGCCCCUUGGGGCUUUGGAUGGAAAGAUACAUUGGUUCUCCACGAUUGUUUAAAGCCUCUUCAGCAGAUCAUGAAAAGAGACAGUCUGCAGAUGAAUGAGAACAGGUGUGUUGGGGGUGAAACGGCAAAGUACUGGAUGAAAGCCUGGAUUAGACAGACCCCAGAUGCACCACUGGCCUUCCCUGCCCCCCGGUAACCUGACCUGGCAUCUAAAUCCAAUCCCAUUCCCUGCUGUUGCAUUUAUAUUGGAAGAGAAUUGGGAGAUAUUUGGUAAAUAAAGUUAUCUUUAUUGCUAAAAGACUGUGGAGGGGCUCAGUGGCCACCAGGAGCUUUGGAGGUCCUCCUGCAUAGUAGAUGCUCUUCAAGUAUUUGUUGGUUUUUUU
rnacentral:lncRNA from 1 species